CAAUAGCGGAUAUUAAAGUUGUUGCAGUUAAAAAGCUCGUAGUUGAAUUUUUGCUUGCCGCCGAUGUCGGAACUUCCGUACGUUCGGCGGCGUGCAUCCUUGGGUGGAACCUGUGUGGCAUUAGGUUGUCGUGCAGGGGAUGCUCAUCGUUUACUGUGAAAAAAUUAGAGUGUUCAAAGCAGGCUUACGCCGUUGAAUAUAUUAGCAUGGAAUAAUAAGAUAGGACCUUGGUACUAUUUUGUUGGUUUGCGCACCGAGGUAAUGAUUAACAGGGACAGUUGGGGGUAUUCGUAUUCCAUUGUCAGAGGUGAAAUUCUUGGAUUUCUGGAAGACGAACUACUGCGAAAGCAUUUACCAAGGAUGUUUUCAUUAA
rnacentral:rRNA from 1 species